UACGUAGGGUGCGAGCGUUGUCCGGAAUUAUUGGGCGUAAAGCGCGCGCAGGCGGUUUCUUAAGUCUGAUGUGAAAGCCCACGGCUCAACCGUGGAGGGUCAUUGGAAACUGGGGAACUUGAGUGCAGAAGAGAAAAGCGGAAUUCCACGUGUAGCGGUGAAAUGCGUAGAGAUGAUGGAGGAACACCAGUGGCGAAGGCGGCUUUUUGGUCUGUAACUGACGGCUGAGGCGCGAAAGCCAGGGGAGCAAACGGGG
rnacentral:rRNA from 1 species